GGCACCACCAGGCGUGGAGCCUGCGGCUUAAUUUGACUCAACACGGGGAAACUCACCAGGUCCAGACACAAUAAGGAUUGACAGAUUGAGAGCUCUUUCUUGAUUUUGUGGGUGGUGGUGCAUGGCCGUUCUUAGUUGGUGGAGCGAUUUGUCUGGUUAAUUCCGUUAAUGAACGAGACC
rnacentral:rRNA from 1 species